rnacentral:rRNA from 1 species
CCUACGGGUGGCUGCAGUGGGGAAUAUUGGACAAUGGGCGAAAGCCUGAUCCAGCCAUGCCGCGUGUGUGAAGAAGGCCUUCGGGUUGUAAAGCACUUUCAGUGGGGAAGAAAGCCUUGGGGCUAAUACCCUCGAGGAAGGACAUCACCCACAGAAGAAGCACCGGCUAACUCCGUGCCAGCAGCCGCGGUAAUACGGAGGGUGCGAGCGUUAAUCGGAAUUACUGGGCGUAAAGCGCGCGUAGGCGGUCUGAUAAGCCGGUUGUGAAAGCCCCGGGCUCAACCUGGGAACGGCAUCCGGAACUGUCAGGCUAGAGUGCAGGAGAGGAAGGUAGAAAUCCCGGUGUAGAGGUGAAAUGCGUAGAGAUCGGGAGGAAUACCAGUGGCGAAGGCGGCCUUCUGGACUGACACUGACGCUGGGGUGCGAAAGCGUGGGUAGCAAACAGGAUUAGAUACCCUAGUAGC